UACGUAGGUGGCAAGCGUUAUCCGGAUUUACUGGGUGUAAAGGGCGUGUAGGCGGGACUGCAAGUCAGAUGUGAAAACCACGGGCUCAACCUGUGGCCUGCAUUUGAAACUGUAGUUCUUGAGUACUGGAAAGGCAGACGGAAUUCCUAGUGUAGCGGUGAAAUGCGUAGAUAUUAGGAGGAACACCAGUGGCGAAGGCGGUCUGCUGGACAGCAACUGACGCUGAGGCGCGAAAGCGUGGGGAGCAAACAGG
rnacentral:rRNA from 1 species